CGAUCAGAACGUAACCAGGAGAACUGAUCGCUCCGCUCUUCAUCUCCACAUUCCUCUGAUAGUUUCAAACUGAGUGAAAGAUCCACAAAGAUCCAACCGCUGAUCCAGACGAUAUAAAAACAAGUCUGAUCGUUUGGAAGAAAGAAAUGUAUUCCUCCUCCCUGAUGUUCUGCUGGACCUCAUCAGACCCAAAGCGUUCACUCCACCUGCAGUGUGGCGGUCCAUCAGGAUCAGCCCUGAGGAACACCAGAUCCUGCAACGUGUCUGUCUCCACCUCAGGAGCUUCAGAACCAGACGGAGGAGCAGAGACCGGGCUUCAGCUGGAUCCACUUCUGGAUCUGGAUCUGGAUGUUUGAUCUGGAUCAAACGUCAGAUCUGCUCACAGUCUGGAACAUUUCAAAUCACUCCUAAAAACUCAUUUUUAUUCUUCAGCUUAUCCAUAAAGUCUGGAAAUUUAUUUUCUGUUUUAAUUUGUGUUUUCUUCUUAUGUGUUUUAUGAAAACUUUACAGUAGUUAAUAUCUGUUUUUAAAGUGCUUUAUAAAUAAAUCUGACAUUGAAAUCAGUUUAUUUGAGAAAGUGCUUAAACGUUGCAACAUCACUAAAUAUUUAUAUCAAUAUGUAAAUAUCUUAAUUUAAGAUUUGACGUUUUUCUUGCAUUUUUAACAUUUUCUGUUUUACUUUCCUCAGUGAGUGUGACUAUUAUUUUUCAUUUGCUCUUUUUUUCUGCCCAGUUUAUCAAACUGAUCCCACAUUAUUGACAUGGUUAGGGUAAAGGUGAGGAUGCAACAAUUCAUUUAUAAGGUCACAAUAUUUAAAGUGAGAAUUUUGUAUGUUUUAAUGACCAUCUGAGGUGAAUAAAGACGUUUAAAUCCA